UAUGCUAUUUAUAACAAGGAAGUCUAAUACCGGUAUUAGUUCCGGUAUUAGAACUCAAUACCGGUAUUGAAAACAUUACCGUUUGCAUGCUAUCACGGCAUAUACCUAAACUAGCCUAUGUGUUAAUCUAGGUUGUCAGCAUCCUGCAUAGAAAUUUCACCAAAAAACCAUGAGUUUUUGUGUGAAAGAGUAGCAUACAUCCUAACAAACUCUCAUGCCUAUAAUAUUAGUAAUUCUUAGAAGAGGCGCGACCAAUAGUCCUCAAUAUAAGUCUAGAAUUUCUAUGAUUAAACCUACUCGUCUGUUAGCCAUGAAGGGGUUAGGUAUCUUGUUUGUACUGGCUGCCCUGUUCGCGUUGGUUGUGGCUAAAGAGGCCGGCGGCGAUACGGCUCGCAACAAGGACUACACGGCCAGGUACGCCGAGAUCGCGGCGCCGGUGCCGGCUGGCGUGAACGUGGAAAAACUGGUCAAAAUAUUGAAGGAGGCGAGUCGCAGGAAUUAUGAUGACUUGAAUAUCAAAAAUUGAAAUUUUAAUGAUGAAGUGUAAAUAAAUAUGUUGCUGUGA